UUCAGAACAGAUCUUGCAACUGGGUGGCAUUUGGGCAUAUUUUGGGUAUUCACCAAUUUGACUCCAGUGCACAGUCUGGAAUUUUCACUCCCAGAAAUUAUUACUUUUAAUGUCAGAUUGGAUGCAACACUGUUUGCUCCUCCAUCAUAAAGACUGUGCCAGGACUUCCGCUAUAAAAUCUCUAUGGCUAACAAGAAAACACAAUUCAGCCAAUAUAUUGUGCUCCUGGAUAAGAACUGGGAUGCAAGAAUUCAUCCUGGAAAUUUUUAUUUGCAACGAAUGAUACUAAUUUCUCAGAGUGCAAAAUAAAGCAUGAAGUCCUUUUCCUCGAAUGUUAGUUAUUUUUUCUUUUUACAGCAUUGUAGCAAUCAGUUGUUCUAAAUCUGAUUGGGAAAAGAGAGGGACAGUAGAAUGCAGCAGGCACCACAGUGCAAUAACAGCAUGUGCCCACUCCACUGCCAACUGGAGAUCACCAGCUGAUGAAGAGGAAGAGACAGGGCUGUAGAAACUGGAGUCAAUAUGUCAUGCAAUGGUAAAUCAAUUAAUGAGAUAUUAACUUUGGGGUGGUUAUAGUAAUGUCUUUAAUGCAGACCUCUCCGUUUUACAUGGUUUUGACAGUGAUAGCUGAAUGCUGGCUAUACAAGAAGAAAGUGGAAGCUGGUUAUCAGUGCAAUUAUUUUAUGGCACUGUUGGACUGGUUGUUGUGUUGUUUAUGCCUAGGUGAACUGAAGUUUUAGUCUCAGACAGAUUUCCAUCUCCUCAGUGCCUGAACGCAGUGGCUAAGCCCAGCCUUAGGUAGGACUACAUGUUCCCAUCACUUCGGUGCUUCCUCGUGGCUGGAGUGCUCCUUUUGGUCAGGCAGAUGGUACAGUAUUUUGCAGAAGCUGUCCAGUGUGUCUGUGUUUUCCCUCUCAUUACAGCUCCUGAGAUGAAAUUUCAGGAAGUGCCAAAUCCAGCCAGGGCUCUAUGUGAUUAACAAGGGUGCUAUCCCCACCACAGAGAAGAGCAAGAACUGUGGCAAUUGCAGAGGUGCUUGGAGAGACCAAGAGAGUCAAUGAGGACAGAGAAGCCAGGGCCUGGAGACUCGCCCUUGUGCAGGCUGCAGUCAACACAGUGGUUUGGUAGCAGCUGGCAACAGGAUGAAAAGGGAAGGGAACUGAUCUUUUAGCCACACCUCGAGGACAGGAGGCAACUAUCCCCAAUAUUUUUUGCUGCAGUUAUAAGAUGAAGUCCAAGUGCGGUAAAUCCUCCUGAAGACUCUUGAGUUACAUGCAGGAAGAAGAUGAUGCACGGCAUGUUUACGAUUUGCUGGGUAUGUUGGGUAGGGAUGAGAACUGGCAGGAAGGUUGAAAUGUUUUUUUUUCCUGUUUUGACAGUCUCUUUUGUUUUUCAGCUGUGAGUUUAACAAAACAAAACUAGAGCUAAUUUUAAUUUUUAAUUAAAGUCAAUAGCUUAUGUUCAUGUUGAUGUAUU